rnacentral:rRNA from 1 species
GACGAACGCUGGCGGCGUGCCUAAUACAUGCAAGUCGAACGCAGUGGGGACGGGGGAGUAACACGUGGGUAACCUCCCAUCAGAGGGGAUAACACUUGGAAACAGGUGCUAAACCGAUACUGAUGGAUGGACCCGCGGUGCAUUAGCUAGUUGGUGGGGUAACGGCUCACCAAGUCCACGAUGCAUAGCCGACCUGAGAGGGUGAUCAGCCACACUGGGACUGAGACACGGCCCAGACUCCUACGGGAGGCAGCAGUAGGGAAUAUUCGGCAAUGGACGAAAGUCUGACCGAGCAACGCCGCGUGAGUGAAGAAGGUUUUCGGAUCGUAAAACUCUGUUGUCGGGGAAGCGGUAUCUAAACAGAAAGCACCGGCUAACUACGUGCCAGCAGCCGCGGUAAUAC